rnacentral:rRNA from 1 species
AUACGUAGGGUGCAAGCGUUAAUCGGAAUUACUGGGCGUAAAGCGUGCGCAGGCGGUUUCGUAAGACAGAUGUGAAAGCCCCGGGCUCAACCUGGGAAGUGCAUUUGUGACUGCGAGACUAGAGUGUGUCAGAGGGAGGUAGAAUUCCACGUGUAGCAGUGAAAUGCGUAGAGAUGUGGAGGAAUACCGAUGGCGAAGGCAGCCUCCUGGGAUAACACUGACGCUCAUGCACGAAAGCGUGGGGAGCAAACAGGAUUAGAUACCCUGGUAGUCCACGCCCUAAACGAUGUCUACUAGUUGUCGGGGAUUCGUUUCCUUGGUAACGCAGCUAACGCGUGAAGUAGACCGCCUGGGGAGUACGGCCGCAAGGUUAAA